rnacentral:rRNA from 1 species
GGGGCAANCCNGAUCCAGCCAUUCCGCGUGAGUGANGAAGGCCUUCGGGUUGUAAAGCUCUUUCGCAAGGGAAGAAANGGUGCNUACGAAUAAUNUGUGCUNAUGACGGUACCUUGAUAAGAAGCACCGGCUAACUACGUGCCAGCAGCCGCGGUAAUACGUAGGGUGCGAGCGUUAAUCGGAAUUACUGGGCGUAAAGCGUGCGCAGGCGGUUUUGUAAGUCAGAUGUGAAAUCCCCGAGCUCAACUUGGGAACUGCGUUUGAAACUNCAANGCUANAGUAUGGUAGAGGGGGGUAGAAUUCCACGUGUAGCAGUGAAAUGCGUANAGAUGUGGAGGAAUACCANUGGCGAAGGCANCCCCCUGGACUAUUACUGACGCUCAUGCACGAAAGCGUGNGGAGCCAACANGAUUAUAUACCCUGGUAGUCCACGCCCCNGGACGAUUUNCCACUAGNUUGUUGGGNUGAGUUUAAAUNNCCCCCNAUNACA